rnacentral:rRNA from 1 species
CACGUAGGCACCAAGCGUUGUCCGGAUUUAUUGGGCGUAAAGAGCUCGUAGGCGGUUCGGUAAGUCGGGUGUGAAAACUCUGGGCUCAACCCAGGAACUGCGUCCGAUACUGGAAGGCUUGAAUCCGGGAGAGGGAUGCGGAAUUCCAGGUGUAGCGGUGAAAUGCGUAGAUAUCUGGAGGAACACCGGUGGCGAAGGCGGCAUCCUGGACCGGUAUUGACGCUGAGGCGCGAAAGCCAGGGGAGCAAACGGG